rnacentral:rRNA from 1 species
GUUAGGAAUAUUCGGCAAUGGGGGAAACCCUGACCGAGCAAUGCCGCGUGUGAGAUGAAGGCCCUAUGGGUUGUAAAUCACUUUUAUUUGGGAAGAACUGUAAGUAUAGGAAAUGAUACUUACUUGACGGUACCUUUUGAAUAAGCCCCGGCUAACUACGUGCCAGCAGCCGCGGUAAUACGUAGGGGGCGAGCGUUAUCCGGAUUUAUUGGGCGUAAAGCGUGCGUAGGCGGUUUGUUAAGUCCAGAAUUAAAGCCCGAGGCUUAACCUCGGUUCGUUCUGGAUACUGGCAGGCUUGAGUAUGGUAGAGGCAAAUGGAAUUCCUAGUGUAGCGGUGAAAUGCGUAGAUAUUAGGAGGAACACCAGUGGCGAAGGCGAUUUGCUGGGCCAUCACUGACGCUGAGGUACGAAAGCGUGGGGAGCAAAUAGG